rnacentral:rRNA from 1 species
AUUGAACGCUGGCGGCAUGCUUUACACAUGCAAGUCGAACGGCAGCACGAAAGAGCUUGCUCUUUUGGUGGCGAGUGGCGAACGGGUGAGUAAUGCAUCGGAACGUACCGAGUAAUGGGGGAUAACUAUCCGAAAGGAUAGCUAAUACCGCAUACGCUUUGAGAAGGAAAGUGGGGGCUCUUCGGACCUCACGUUAUUCGAGCGGCCGAUGUCUGAUUAGCUAGUUGGUGGGGUAAAGGCCUACCAAGGCGACGAUCAGUAGCGGGUCUGAGAGGAUGAUCCGCCACACUGGGACUGAGACACGGCCCAGACUCCUACGGGAGGCAGCAGUGGGGAAUUUUGGACAAUGGGCGCAAGCCUGAUCCAGCCAUGCCGCGUGUCUGAAGAAGGCCUUCGGGUUGUAAAGGACUUUUGUUAGGGAAGAAAAGGAUAGUGUUAAUACCAUUAUCUGCUGACG